GGAGAUCAAUUUAAAUCAAGAAACAGUACUAAAUAGAGCAUUAAUUUAUGGAUAAUAGCAGAAAAAGCAAAGAGAAGAGAAAUGGAUGCUUUUAACGUAGUGAAGUACACCUGUGGGCUCCAUGCUUGCAGCUGCCUGAGAUAGUCAUCCAAAUAUGCCACCCUGCCUCUACCAGCCUGCCAACAGAAGCAGUGUGUUCAUGCUGGGCUUUUCAGCUGUGUGGCAGUGCCACAUAGACCUUCUGUGACUCAGCCAAAGACGAAGUUCAUGUACAAGAAGUACAUCUCAGGUCUGGGUUUUCUUGUUUGGCUUUUUAUUCAUAGGUACAUAGCACCAAAAUGUUUCUUCUAAGUGUUCUUGCUGAAAGCUGUUCAAACGUGUAUUGUCUGGAAGAAGACUGACAAAAUUAUAACUUAGAGCUGUCAAGCUUUACCACCAUUACACCUCCACUCAGUUUUUGUUAAUUCUGCUACAUUGGCUGUUAGACUUAAACCAUGUAUUACACAGACAGCACUGAGACCAGUGAGACAGGAUGGGAAUAAGGAUUACAGGGACUGAAGACUUGGAACAACUUUUUUCUGCUUUUAAGAGGUUCUAGACAUG
rnacentral:lncRNA from 1 species